UUGAUUUUAAUGGUUUGGUUGCUUGAAUUCGCAUAAUAGGUUGAUUAGGAAUAUGAAAGCUAACAACCUUACGAAAACAAUCAAUUUUUGCAUGAUGAGUAGUUAACCAAUCAAUCCCUAGAAUUACAUCAAAUGCAAGUAUUUUCAAUGAAAUAAGAUCGACAGGUAAUGUGUGGGUACCAACUUGAACCAAACAAGACUUAUAAACCGUGG
rnacentral:lncRNA from 1 species